rnacentral:rRNA from 1 species
GAUGAACGCUAGCUACAGGCUUAACACAUGCAAGUCGAGGGGCAGCAUGGUCUUAGCUUGCUAAGGCCGAUGGCGACCGGCGCACGGGUGAGUAACGCGUAUCCAACCUGCCGUCUACUCUUGGACAGCCUUCUGAAAGGAAGAUUAAUACAAGAUGGCAUCAUGAGUCCACAUGUUCACAUGAUUAAAGGUAUUCCGGUAGACGAUGGGGAUGCGUUCCAUUAGAUAGUAGGCGGGGUGACGGCCCACCUAGUCUUCGAUGGAUAGGGGUUCUGAGAGGAAGGUCCCCCACAUUGGAACUGAGACACGGUCCAAACGCCGACGGGAGACAGCAGUGAGGAAUAUUGGUCAAUGGGCGAGAGCCUGAACCAGCCAAGUAGCGUGAAGGAUGACUGCCCUAUGGGUUGUAAACUUCUUUUAUAAAGGAAUAAAGUCGGGUAUGCAUACCCGUUUGCAUGUACUUCAUGAAUAAGGAUCGGCUAACUCCGUGCCAGCCGCCGCCGUAA